UACGUAGGUGGCAAGCGUUGUCCGGAUUCAUUGGGCGUAAAGAGCUCGUAGGCGGCCACUCAAGUCGAAUGUGAAACCUCGAGGCUUAACCUCGAGCCUGCAUUCGAUACUGGGCGGCUAGAGUCUGGUAGGGGGAUCUGGAAUUCCUGGUGUAGCGGUGGAAUGCGCAGAUAUCAGGAGGAACACCGGUGGCGAAGGCGAGUCCCUGGACAACACCUGACACUGAGGCACGAAAGCUAGGGGAGCAAACAGG
rnacentral:rRNA from 1 species